rnacentral:rRNA from 1 species
AGUGAACGCUGGCGGUAGGCCUAACACAUGCAAGUCGAACGGCAGCACAGUAAGAGCUUGCUCUUACGGGUGGCGAGUGGCGGACGGGUGAGGAAUACAUCGGAAUCUACUUUUUCGUGGGGGAUAACGUAGGGAGACUUACGCUAAUACCGCAUACGACCUACGGGUGAAAGCAGGGGAUCUUCGGACCUUGCGCGAUUGAAGGAGCCGAUGUCGGAUUAGCUAGUUGGCGGGGUAAAGGCCCACCAAGGUGACGAUCCGUAGCUGGUCUGAGAGGAUGAUCAGCCACACUGGAACUGAGACACGGUCCAGACUCCUACGGGAGGCAGCAGUGGGGAAUAUUGGACAAUGGGCGCAAGCCUGAUCCAGCCAUACCGCGUGGGUGAAGAAGGCCUUCGGGUUGUAAAGCCCUUUUGUUGGGAAAGAAAAGCAGCAGGUUAAUACCCCGCUGUUCUGACGGUACCCAAAGAAUAAGCACCGGCUAACUUCGUG